CUGGUAUUGCAAAUUACUGUAACACGUUGCAAAAAUGGCCCAACGUGGUGGACAAAGAGGACGAGGAGGACGUGGAGGUAUUCAUGGACACGAUAAACCCCUGAAGGUGUUGAUGGGAUGUUCAAAACAAGAUCUAGAAAGAUUUCUCGCAAUUGCACGAAAUUUAGCUGAGCAUGAUGAACAGGAAGCACACGAGCACUUUUGGACUGUAACUGCGAACACAAUACAAUCCCUCAUUGACGCUAAGAAGUGAUAGAUAGAUACCAAUGACUUUGACAUUGGACCUCCCGCUACACAGAUCUUUCUCUAUUUCUAUGUAUAUAUGUUUAUCAGUGUGAUUGUAUCUUGACUUUUGAUAACCACGCAGUAAAGAAAAACAUCUGAAA